AACGAACGCUGGCGGCAGGCUUAACACAUGCAAGUCGAGCGAAGACUUCGGUCUUAGCGGCAGACGGGUGAGUAACGCGUGGGAAUCUACCCAGUCCUUCGGAAUAGCUCCUGGAAACGGGAAUUAAUACCGAAUACGCCCUUUUGGGGAAAGAUUUAUCGGGAUUGGAUGAGCCCGCGUAAGAUUAGCUAGUUGGUGGGGUAAUGGCCUACCAAGGCGACGAUCUUUAGCUGGUCUGAGAGGAUGAUCAGCCACACUGGGACUGAGACACGGCCCAGACUCCUACGGGAGGCAGCAGUGGGGAAUAUUGGACAAUGGGCGCAAGCCUGAUCCAGCCAUGCCGCGUGAGUGAUGAAGGCCUUAGGGUUGUAAAGCUCUUUCACCGGUGAAGAUAAUGACGGUAACCGGAGAAGAAGCCCCGGCUAACUUCGUGCCAGCCGCCGCCGUAA
rnacentral:rRNA from 1 species